AAAAAGACACAAAAAAAAAAGAGGCUCUCGGCUCUCUCUGGGCUGGACCGAAAAGAAGAAGGAAAAAAAAAAGAGAAAAACUCCUCUCUCCCUCUCGGCUCUCCUAUCUCCCAAAUUUUUUCCAACACAUAACUUGAAACAUCAAAAGAGAGGCAGCAACCAGUUGGAUAAUUGGAGCUUUGCAUCAGGAACUUCAAUCAAGGAAUUGGC
rnacentral:lncRNA from 1 species